GCCUUUGUGGUGUAAUGGUCAGCACACUCGGCGCGUAUUCGAGAGGUCCAGGUUUCGAGUCCCGGGGAGGGCA
rnacentral:tRNA from 1 species